UCGUGUGCAAAUCAUGGGAAUUUCUGACCUCGUUUUCCACCUCCGGCCUCAUGUGCUUCGCGAUCGUUAUCGUUGCCAUUUUUCUUUCGUUCGUCAGAGGGUUCGUUUGGUUCUAUUAUCGGACAGCGAGUAAAUGAUAAGUAAAAGGAUCGUGAAUAUAUAUAUUUGCAAUUCGUGCGUUAAUUGUGUGUGUUAUUUAGAGUGUACCAGUGGACAUAAUGUAACGAAGUUGGAAACUAUAAUAUUAUGUAUUAUGUCUUAUGACGACAACGAAUUGAAAUGAGUAAGAAGGAUAAACGGAGCAAGUUCUACCAACAAUGAUGCUGUUUGUACGAGGCAUUAUAUAUGAUGCGAUAUUUAACACAUUCGAUGUGUCGUCGCGAUUAACUCGUGUCACGCAAACCAAGUACCCUCGUUGCAAAUUAAAUCGAUCAAAGAUUGAAGUUUAUUCGUCGAUCGUUUCGGUUGGACGAAAUUGAGUUGAAACUUCAAAGGAAACUUUGAACUAUUUUACGCCGAGGUGACAAUUGAUUAAAUUACAAUAAUUAAUGAAUCAUCCUACAGUGAAUGUCCGUGCACGAGUACCUAUAUUGAUAGAAAUCUCAGAACACGUGUAAGAGCACGAAACUUCAACCAAGAUCCAACAAAGCACACUUUAGCUCCGGUAGUUCGAUCUCUAUUGAAGCAAGCGAGACACUGUAUUCACAAUGUAACUGCAUCGAUCGAUCCUGCCAUUCGAUGCUUUAACCUUCGACCACUCUACAUCAUAGAAUCUACUCUCUUCCUCUGUUUGAGAUAUUAUAUCUUUCUACGGAAAUGUAUAAGACUUUCCAGUUCUUGUGUCAAUUUCACGGAAUGGAAUAUCGAGAAAUGGACAGACAAACUUGCGCAUACCCAAAGUCCAAACCUAACGCUGUUAAAUCAAACUCUGUACUAUUAAUUGCGAAUUUAUAAAUUAUAAUUAAAGAUAUACGAGCUUUGAAAAAUCUACAAAAUUUUCCAGUUCUUGUGUCAAUUUCACGGAAUGGAAUAUCGAAAAGUGAACAGACAAACUUGCGCAUACCCAAAGUCCAAAUCUAACGCUGUUAAAUCAAACUCUGUACUAUUAAUUGCGAAUUUAUAAAUUAUAAUUAAAGAUAUACGAGCUUUGAAAAAUCUACAAAAUUUUCCAGUUCUUGUGUCAAUUUCACGGAAUGGAAUAUCGAGAAGUGAACAGACAAACUUGCGCAUACCCGAAGUCCAAACCUAACGCUGUUAAAUCAAACUCUGUACUACUAAUUGCG